CCUACGGGUGGCAGCAGUGGGGAAUAUUGGACAAUGGGCGAAAGCCUGAUCCAGCCAUGCCGCGUGUGUGAAGAAGGCCUUCGGGUUGUAAAGCACUUUCAGUGGGGAAGAAAGCCUUGGGGCUAAUACCCUCGAGGAAGGACAUCACCCACAGAAGAAGCACCGGCUAACUCCGUGCCAGCAGCCGCGGUAAUACGGAGGGUGCGAGCGUUAAUCGGAAUUACUGGGCGUAAAGCGCGCGUAGGCGGUCUGAUAAGCCGGUUGUGAAAGCCCCGGGCUCAACCUGGGAACGACAUCCGGAACUGUCAGGCUAGAGUGCAGGGGAGGAAGGUAGAAUUCCCGGUGUAGCGGUGAAAUGCGUAGAGAUCGGGAGGAAUACCAGUGGCGAAGGCGGCCUUCUGGACUGACACUGACGCUGAGGUGCGAAAGCGUGGGUAGCAAACAGGAUUAGAUACCCUAGUAGUC
rnacentral:rRNA from 1 species